UAGGAACCGUGAGAUUAAGCCAUCGCGGCAGGUGCUCACGUUAAGCCCACUGACUUUCAUGUCCCUAUCUACUAUCUAGCGAAACCACAGCCAAGGGAACGGGCUUGGAAUAAUUAGCGGGGAAAGAAGACCCUUUUGAGCUUGACUCUAAUCUGGCAGUGUAAGGAGACAUAAGAGGUGUAGAAUAAGUGGGAGAUAUUAGACUUCGGUUUGGUAUCGACAAUGAAAUACCACUACUCUUAUUGUUUCCUUACUUACUUGAUUAAAUGGAACGUGUAUCAUUUCCUAGCCAUUAUACGGAUAUAAUUAUUAUGUCUUAUGGUAUUGGGUUUUGAUGCAAGCUUCUUGAUCAAAGUAUCACGAGUUUGUUAUAUAAUCGCAAACAAAUUCUUUAAUGAGAGAAUGCAUUUAUGUAUUAUUGAUUUAAAAAUUUGGUAUAACUCCAAUUACUCAGGUAUGAUCCAAUUCAAGGACAUUGCCAGGUAGG
rnacentral:ncRNA from 1 species